AACCUCUCUCAAGUAAGAUUACUUGGAUGUGAAGGAAGAGUACCUUAAACUUUAAGGAGUUCUCCUUUGAAAUUGAUUAGCAGAUGGUAAAGUUAUUAAAUCCCUAAUGUUGUAAGCAAUAACAGUGGUUUUUUAUCAACUAUUAUCUAGCUUCAAAUUCCAAUUUUUUAUUAU
rnacentral:misc_RNA from 1 species